rnacentral:misc_RNA from 1 species
UUUCCGUAGGUGAACCUGCGGAAGGAUCAUUAAUGAGUUGUCAUGGGGUUCGAUGCUGGCAGCCGAUUUUUGGAUGCAUGUGCUUGCCCUAACAAUCAUCUUCCAAACACCUGUGCACAUUUUUGAGGGAGUCUUGGGUUGGUUGCCGCUCUUGGGUGAUUUUCUCACAUUCCCUUAAAUCAUUAUACGCUAUUAACUAUGUUGAACGUGCUCUGUGCCGCAAGGCUAUUAAUAUAAUACAACUUUUAACAACGGAUCUCUUGGCUCUC